AAUAAUACUUCCAUCACUGGUUUUACCCUAAAGAGAUGCACAUUUGAAGAGAGACUCAGAGGAAGGUAUAGAGACAUUGAGAGAGAGAGAGAGAGAGAGAAAGCGGUGUAUAGAGAGAUCGAUGAAAGGAAUCCGACCACCCCAAUCGAUGAAGGGGAUGAUGGCGACGUCUUAAGGCUGAGUUCUCCGCCGACUUCAGCAAACACAUUUUUUGGUAGAGAGCAUACCAGAUUGGAUAUUGUGUGCCACUGAUUUGUACUCGAACCCUAAUUUCAUAAGGGUUUAGACUGGGAUUUCUCUCAGGUUUUUGACUAAAUUGUUGCUGGUGAAGAGGUUUAGGAAGUCUUGCGCACAGGUUAGAAGUUUAUCUGAGCAAAGAAAAUUUAAAGGAGGUGCAUUUUAGUAAUAGGUUUUAUAAAAUAAAAUACAUGUAAUCUUACUUAGAAAUGUAUUUAUUCAUUGCACCAAACAUGAACUUAUGUUGACCGUUUCUGUUUGACAAAUUUGAAGUUCAAAAGAUUUUGAACAAAAAACAAUCAA